CCAGUCCCCUCUCCAGAUUCAAAGCUCUGCAGAGAAGAAGGAAAGCGGAGCAACUUGCCUUGUUGUAUUGGGUGGUGGAAGUCAGCCUUCUCAAGCAUUUGCACAGGCAGUGGAAGAUGGGGCGUGCAAAGUCUUGGAUCCUGAAGAAGUACUUUGAUGGGUUCCCUAAACUGAGUGAUUUUGAACUGAAAGAGGUAGACCUACCAAAGCUGAAGGAUGGAGAGGUGCUGCUUGAAAGUGUGUUCUUCAGUGUCGACCCUUAUUUGAGACCAUACAGUAAGCUGUAUAUGAAAGAAGGGGAUGUAAUAAUUGGCUCCCAAGUUGCCAAGGUUGUGGAAAGCAAGAAUCCCACAUACCCAGUAGGAGUCUUUGUCGUGUCCAAUUCAGGCUGGAGAACUCAUUUCAUUUCUGAUGGCCAAGGUCUAUUCCUGAUGUCUCCCGACUGGCCAGCAAAGCUUUCCAGAUCUCUGGCUCUUGGGACAAUUGGCAUGCCUGGGCUGACCGCAUAUUUCGCCCUGUUGGAGAUCUGCAGGAUAAAACCAGGAGAGACGGUGUUGAUUAAUGCAGCGGCUGGCGCUGUGGGCAGUGUUGCUGGGCAGAUUGCAAAAAUACAUGGUUGCAAAGUGGUUGGCUGUGCAGGUUCUGAAGAAAAAGUGGCCUACCUCAAGGAACUGGGCUUUGAUGAAGUCUUUAAUUAUAAGACCGUGAAGUCCCUGAAAGAAGCCUUGCAAAAAGCUUCCCCUGAUGGCUAUGACUGCUAUUUCGAUAACGUGGGAGGAGAGUUUUCGAGUGUUGCUUUGGAACAAAUGAAAAAAUUCGGCAGAAUAGCUGUGUGUGGGGCAAUCUCCUUGUACAAUGACACAGUACCCCAAAAAGGACCAUAUAUCCAGAUGACCAUGAUCCUUAAAGAGCUGCGCAUGGAAGGGUUUGUGGUCUCACGUUGGGCCAACAGGAAAGACGAAGGUCUGAAAGCACUGUUGAAAUGGGUUGAAGAGCAGCCAUCAUAGAGUCCUGUGCCAGAAAGGCCAAGCAGAGCGGAGCUGCAGCAGUUCUGAUGGUUGCCUCUCCGCUGCUUGCAUGGUGCAGUGUGGGAUACUAGAGGACCCAGCCUGGGUUUGUUUAUAUUCCUGAAGUGCGCAGCAGGUGAUGGUAACCUGAUCAUGUGGAGGUUGGGCAGACUCAUGAGGGUGCACUACUUAAGGCCUCCCUGUCGUCACAGGCCACACUGGCAGCAGGCUGUAAAGUGCCACACAGAAGCAGCAAGCGUGCCUAUCGCUUAGACAGGUGGCUUCCUGCACGGUAUGUAAGCCAUUCCAUUUUAAUCCUUGAACCUGUGGCUUAAAACCUGAAUGAGUGUCUUCCACCCCUCUCCCACCUUGAAAUUUUAAUAUAA